rnacentral:rRNA from 1 species
GAUGAACGCUAGCGGCAGGCCUAAUACAUGCAAGUCGAGGGGUAGAAGAGGCUUGCUUCUUUGAGACCGGCGCACGGGUGCGUAACGCGUAUGCAACCUACCUUCAUCUGGGGGAUAGCCCGGAGAAAUCCGGAUUAAUACCGCAUAAAAUCACAGGAUGGCAUUAUCCAAUGAUCAAACAUUUAUGGGAUGGAGAUGGGCAUGCGUGUCAUUAGCUAGUUGGCGGGGUAACGGCCCACCAAGGCGACGAUGACUAGGGGAUCUGAGAGGAUGGCCCCCCACACUGGUACUGAGACACGGACCAGACUCCUACGGGAGGCAGCAGUAAGGAAUAUUGGUCAAUGGAGGCAACUCUGAACCAGCCAUGCCGCGUGCAGGAAGACUGCCCUAUGGGUUGUAAACUGCUUUUAUUCGGGAAUAAACCUUAUUACGUGUAAUAAGCUGAAUGUACCGAAGGAAUAAGGAUCGGCUAACUCCGUGCCAGCCGCCGCUGUAAAAC